rnacentral:rRNA from 1 species
AGUGAACGCUGGCGGUAGGCCUAACACAUGCAAGUCGAACGGCAGCACAGGAGAGCUUGCUCUCUGGGUGGCGAGUGGCGGACGGGUGAGGAAUACAUCGGAAUCUACUUUUUCGUGGGGGAUAACGUAGGGAAACUUACGCUAAUACCGCAUACGACCUACGGGUGAAAGCAGGGGACCUUCGGGCCUUGCGCGAUUGAAUGAGCCGAUGUCGGAUUAGCUAGUUGGCGGGGUAAAGGCCCACCAAGGCGACGAUCCGUAGCUGGUCUGAGAGGAUGAUCAGCCACACUGGAACUGAGACACGGCCCAGACUCCUACGGGAGGCAGCAGUGGGGAAUAUUGGACAAUGGGCGCAAGCCUGAUCCAGCCAUACCGCGUGGGUGAAGAAGGCCUUCGGGUUGUAAAGCCCUUUUGUUGGGAAAGAAAUCCAGCUGGCUAAUACCCGGUUGGGAUGACGGUACCCAAAGAAUAAGCACCGGCUAACUUCGUGCCAGCCGCCGCGGUAACAC